AACGUAGGAGACAAACGUUAUCCGGAGUUACUGGGCGUAAAGGGCGUGUAGGUGGUAGUGUAAGUCUGGCGUGAAAUUUUUCGGCUUAACCGGGAAAGGUCGUCGGAUACUGCACAACUAGAGGACGGUAGAGGCGUGUGGAAUUCCGGGUGUAGUGGUGAAAUGCGUAGAGAUCCGGAGGAACACCAGUGGCGAAGGCGGCCUUCUGGACGGUGACUGACGCUGAGACGCGAAAGCGUGGGGAGCAAACAGG
rnacentral:rRNA from 1 species